rnacentral:lncRNA from 1 species
GCUGUACACUUGAAAUUAACACAAUAUUGUAAAACCACUAUAAGUAAACCAAAAAAAAGUGAGAUCUCCUGCUAAGGUUAAAGAAAGGAGGCAAGUAAAUCAUCUCUCAAGCUCAAUUCAUACAUUUACUGAACUUAAUAUGUGCUCAGCACUUCAUUAAAUGCUGUUGUAGGUAGGAGAGGGUAACAGAAACUCAAGAUACAUACAAAACUCUAUUCUCUAUAAUUAUGCAAUAUAAGGCAGAAUUAAAUUUUAACCACUUAUUGUCUCAGGAGAGAGGGGGACAAUCUUGAAAGUAUGAAAGGUUAACAUACAUAAGAUACUUCUGAGUUGAAAAUACAUAUACAGAAACAGAAUUAAGAUGACAUAGUAGAAGGACUGGAGCUCACCUUCUCUCAUGAAAACAGCAAAACUACAACUAACUGCAGAACAACCUUCAGCAAAAUAUACUGGCAAUUAUCAAAAAAGAUAUCCUCCAUAUGCUGUGGGUGCAGCCUUAAAAGAUAAAUAAAUUAAUUAAUUAAUUAAAUGUUUGCUCUGUAAUAAAUACUUUUAAGAGAAUGAAAAGACAAAUGAUAUAUUGAGACAAAAUAUUCACAAAUCACAUAUCUAACAAAGGACAAAGUGUAUAAAGAACUCAAACUGAGCAGUAAAAUAAAUAAAUAAAUAAAUAAACAAACAAACAUCCCUAUUAAAAAGCAUGCCAAAAUAUAGAGAGAUAUUUCUCCAAGAGGAUAUGGAUUACAAAUAAGCCAUUUUUAAAAUGUUCAAUAUCAUUAGCCAUUAGGGAAACACAACCUAAAACUACAAUGUGAGUCCACUAUAGACCUAUUAGAAUAACUAAAACAGAAAAAUACAACACCAGGUGCAGACAAGCAUGUGAAACAGCUGGAACUCCCAUCCAGUGCUGGUGGUUAUGCAAAAUGAUGUAGACAUUUUAGAAAAGAGAAUGACCAUUUCUUAUAUAUUUACCAUAUAAGUCAGAAAUCCCACUCCUAGGUAUUUACUCUAGAGAAAUGUUUAAAAGAAAAUUUAUGUUUACACAAAAAACUUGUACACAAAUGUUUACAUGAAGAGAGAUACUUUUUGUAUGGUAAAUGAAGAGAAAUAAAAAGGCAAAUGUAUCUGUUUGUUUACAAAAAAAGAAAAACAGGAAAAUAAACCUGGAAACAUUAAAAUUGGUAACCUAUGGGCCAGUAUGAUGAAGGUGAAAGAGACAAAAGAGGACAUGAGUCAGUAUAACUUUCUUGUAGUUAUGACUUCUGGAAGCAUGUUAAUAUUCUACGUAGUCUAGAAAUUAAAAAUAAAUCACCAAGGAGUGGAAGAACAAAAAAGUAAAACUAAAACUAAAAGUAAACUGAAGCAAAUGCAUAUAACUGAAUUCCAAAUGAAUUAAAAUAAUGCUAGAAAUAAAGGAAAAAAUCCUAACAAAUUUUAAACAUGGUAUUUAACUAUAUCUCUUUAGUCAGGGGGAGGAGGGGGAAGGGAUAGGAAGACACAGCAAGUAAAGUGAAUUUUUUUGUAGGUAUUUUUAUAGUGGUAUGGAUGAAACAAUUAUGAAAUUAUUUUGGGGAUACUGCUGAAUUGUAGAAAUUGAAUAAAUGUUUUGAAUGCUUUCAUGUUUUUAGGAACUAGGAUUCUCACGGUGAAAAAAAGGAAGAUACAAACAUUGAAUGCGGGGAAUGCAAAGAAAACUAUGGAGAUGGACUGGAUUUGUAGGUGUCAGUAAGAACUAAUGAUUUUUGACAUCUUCCUAGACAGACGAUUAGAUUAUACAAUACAUUAUACAUACAUAUUACACAUAUUAUGUAUAUAUAGUAGAUUAUAUGUGUGUAUAUGUGUGUGCAUGUGCAUGCGUGCACGCACACACACACACGCACUUCUUAACUGUCUGCUGAAAGGGCCUAGAAUCAAAUGAUUCCCCAGUAUCAAUUAGCAUAUUGAGGACCUAGAUAUGGGUUUCUAAUUGCAUUUUCCAGUAAAACGAACCAAGUUUCCUCAGAGAAAUGGAUGAUUCAGUGGGUGGGACCAGGAAUGUAAAGUGAUCCUAGGACACAUUAAGCCAUAAAAUAAGAAAAUGUUAAAAAUAAAUUACUGAAGUAAGUUAAAAGGACAAAGCAGCUGGUGUAAAGGAACAUCCAUUGGUCGGAUCUGGUAAAAUUUGAGUACUCAAAUAAAGACAGUAUUGAAAAAUAAAAACUUUAAAUUUAAAAAAUAGGAAUCCAUGAGUUCAUUUUGAUAAUGAAUAGGCUGGCAAGUUAGAUAGAUAAAUGAAUGAGUGAAUGAGGGAGAACUUUUGCAACUGAUAAAGGUAAAGAGAAAAUUGGAGUAGGAAAAGGGGAAAAGAGCAAAUACAUGGUGGAUGAACUGAACAAUACCUUGACCAAAUGAUCAAAAGCAAUAUGGCACUGAGGGGCAGAUAAAUCAUGAAUGCCAUCUGAAAGUGAUGUUCUCAAGACACAAUAUCAUUUCUGUAGUGUUCCAACUAGGGAUGCUUAACUCGAAUCUAAUCAUAAGGAAACAUCAAAAUAACCAAAAUGAGGAAUAUUCUAUUUUUUUAAGGACCUGCAUAUUUCAAAAUAUCAAAGUCAUGAAAGAGUAACAAAAGCUGAGGAGCUCUUCCAGGUUAAAUAAACUAAAGAGAUUUGACAAGUAAAGGUAACAUAUAAUCAUGGACUGGAAGAAAAAGAUGUUAUAAAAAUAUCAUUUGAUCAACUGACAAAAUUAGGAAUAUGUGUAGAUUACAGUGUUGUGUUAAUGUAUAAUUUCCUAAAGAUAACAAUCACGCCAUGUAAGAGACUAUUCUUGUUCUGAGGAAAUAUACACGAUAUAUUUAGGAGUAAAGCUAUAUGUUUAUGCAACUUAAUCUCAAAUAGUUAAAAAAAGAGUGUUAUCUAUGUAUAUCAGUAGAUAUAUAAAUAGAACAAUGCCACAAGUUAUAUUAUAUAAUUAAUAAAAAUUUUAAUAAAUGACAUAUUAAAUAGUAUCGACGGUAGGUUAACUGUGAUAGAUCUUUACCAUUAGUACUUACAUCUGCCAAUCAUUCCUCAUCCUGCAUCAUUCCACAUAAAUAUAGACAUUUAAUGAUAAUUUGGAAAAAAUUCCUAAAAAUCAUAGUAUAUUAAGGAAAGCUAGGCUAUAAAAUUAAAACAAAUAUUUCAGAAGUAUAAUACAAGUCAAAUAUAUAAGUGUAUAUAGUUCCAAACACACAAAAAAAUGUAACAAAUGCACCUAUGUGUAAGUUCUGUACAACUACAUGUUAAAAAAAAAAUGAGUGCCAGAGCCAACUGGCUUUGCACAUAAACCUGAAGAAUAAUUCAAGGUACAUAAAAGGAUACCUUGAAUUUAUGGUCAUUUUAAAAUAUUAUAUUAGAAUCAUAAGAAUGUAUAAAUAUAUGCGUGAAAAAAUAACUAGUUGAGAUAAACUGUGAAGAUUAUACUUACAAAAAUAAGUAGGCUAUUAAAUUCAUUCAUACAUUAAUGUGAAUUUCUUUCUCAGUUUAUAUUAAGUAUUAUUUAAGAUUCUAAGCAAAAUGAGACUUUAUACAGUGUCAGAUACUAUUCAUUGAAUUUCCAUCCCAGCUUUUGCUCCUUUCUAACAUAACCCUAAUUUUGGUACCAAGUAUGCUGAACAGUGGACUCAGCUGCAGAAGAUGCAUCACAAUUAAUCUAAUCAAAUUUCCCUUUGAGUAACUUAUUUAGUGGUGGGCAGAUGACCCAGUUCUAGUGAAGAAAUUUUGAUAGGCUGUCUAUGGGGGAGCUCUGGAUAAGCCUGAUGUAAGGAAAAAAACAUGCCAGAAGAAACUCUCCUUAUUCCUAAUUCUGGAUGCAGUUGUGUGAGAUCCUGAUGCCAUCUUUGGGCACUAAGGGGCAAGAAAGAGAUAAAAUCCAAGGCUCUGAUGCCAGCUGACUGGAAAGAUGUUGAAUUUGGGACCUUGAGGAUAUUAGUGAGCCACUGAUUCACCAAUACUAGAAUUACUUUCCUUCAGACUUCUUGUCAUGUGAGAUAAUAAAUAUUUGUUAUUUAAGUCACUUUUUGUUGAGUACCCUAUUACUUGGACCCAAAAUAUAUCCUACCAGACAUGGGUAUAAAAAGCAGGUUAUCUACUGGUGGGUAGUCAGUACACCUCUGGAGGGCCUGUAUAACCUAAGAGUUGUCUGUGACUCUGGAUUCAGAAUCCAGGGGGAUGUGUCAAGCAGGUCACAGAAGUAACCUUUGUAUAUUCACUGCGAGGGCCAACAUUCACCUACAAUCAUUCCUUUGUAAAUACAGAAGAAUUGUGGCUCUCAAAGUUGUAUAAACAACAAAAAAAUCCAAACUAACCAAAUCAUAGGUCUAAGUGCCUGACAUGCCUUUCUGAAUGUGCUCAUAUUUCUGAGGCCUCAGAUGAAGAAAAAAACACUAUUCCAUAAACCUUGUCAACUACCAACACUAAAAACUGUAAAAAAAUAAAUAAUGUAUAAAGUGAAAAUAGUACUAGAUUUGAAAGUAAAAAACCCUAGUAAUAAGUUCUGACCCUACUAAUUACUAGCUCUAAGAUUCCAGGCUUCAGUUUUCUCAUUUGCAAAGUUGAGAUAAUAAUAUUUAUAUUUAUACUGUGGUGCAGUGGGUUAAGGACCAAGUGUUGCUGUAGCUGUGGCACAGGUCACAACUCUGGUUUGGAUUCCAUCCCUGGCCCAGGAACUUCCAUAUACCA